UACAGAGGGGGCGAGCGUUGUUCGGAAUUACUGGGCGUAAAGCGCGCGUAGGCGGCUUUGCAAGUCGGGUGUGAAAUCCCCAGGCUCAACCUGGGAACUGCAUUCGAGACUGCAUUGCUAGAGUAUGGGAGAGGGAAGUGGAAUUUCCGGUGUAGCGGUGAAAUGCGUAGAUAUCGGAAGGAACAUCAGUGGCGAAAGCGACUUCCUGGACCAAUACUGACGCUCAUGUGCGAAAGCGUGGGGAGCAAACAGG
rnacentral:rRNA from 1 species